UUUUCCGGUUGAUCCUGCCGGACCUCACUGCUAUUGGGAUGCGGCUAACCCAUGCGAGUCGAGAGUCUUCGGCCCUCUUGUGACGGCUCACUACCCCUCUGCAUAAUCUGCCCUUAGCGUGGAUGAUACUCUCGGGAAACUGAGAAUACUGCUCCAUAUAUCUGGGAUGCUAGAAUGCGCGUAAGUUUUUCUCCCCGGCGCCUAUCGAUGAGUCUGCUUACUAUCACGUUGGAGGAUGGGGACUGACCUGAUUAGCUUACUACGGAUACAGCUUGUGAGAGCAUUAACCCGGAGAUGAUAUCUGAGACACGAUAUCAGGCCCUGCGGUGCGCAGCAGGCGCGAAAGCUUCACCCUGCGAGAAAGCUGAAUGAGGGAUUCCCAAGUGCUCGCUCAUUAGAGUAAGCUGUUUCUAUGUGUAAAUUGCAUAGAGAGUAAGGAGUGGGUAAGACGGGUGUCAGCCGCCGCGGUAAUACCUGCUGUUCGAGUGGUGGGGGUUAUUAUUGGGCUUAAAGCGUCCGUAGCCGGUUUAGUAAAUGUCUGGGUAAAUCGUGUAGCUUAAUUAUACGAAUUCCGGGUAGACUGUUAAACUAGAGGCCGGGAGAGGUUAGAGGUACUUCUGGGGUAGAGGUGAAAUUCUGUAAUCCUAGGGGGACCACCAGUGGCGAAGGCGUUUGGCUAGAACGCGUUUGACGGUGAGGGACGAAACCCUGGGGAGCGAACCGGAUUAGAUACCCGGGUAGUCCCGGCUGUAAACGAUGCGUUGCUUGGUGUUGGUUGGGCUAUGAGCCCAAUUAGUGUCGGAGGGAAGUCUGUUAAGCAAGCUGCCUGGGAAGUACGGUCGCAAGGCUGAAACUUAAAGGAAUUGGCGGGGGAGCACCACAAGGGGUGGAGCGUGCGGUUUAAUUGGAUUCAACGCCGGAAAUCACUAGU
rnacentral:rRNA from 1 species